UGGGGCGUAGCCAAGUGGUAAGGCAACAGGUUUUGGUCCUGUGAUACGGAGGUUCGAAUCCUCCCGCCCCAACCA
rnacentral:tRNA from 1 species